AUGCAGCUGCAUCAGGUUUACAUGAAGUACACAUUUAUAAAUUCACCUAUUUACAAAUUUAUAAAUUCAGAACAUAUGAUUAUUAAGAUACUUGAUGGUUUACCCAAGCUAAGGAGCCAGAGCUUUCCCGAUAAGCAAGUUGCAGUAAAUAUAAUUCAAUCUGCCGUAUUAACGUACUUUGUACUCCUUACUCUACACGUAUAUGGAGACGGGGGGGACUGGGAAAAGCUGAGACGUGCCAAAAAAAGAAAUUUCUCGUUUACUUUUCAUAUAGAUAAAGUAUAAGUUGAGAAACAAGAUUUAUUAAUGAUACAUAAUGUCUUAGUCAUACAUAAAGAUUGAAAUGAAAUAACCAGUAAAUAGCAUCAAAUAUUUUGUUAAAAGAAUGUGCUGGCAGUAUCUUUUUCUCACUUCACAGACUUUAAAACGAAAGGAGAUCAGACAACAUAUGAAUGACACUCCAAUUAAUCACGUGAGCCUCUUGUUACGAUAUGUUAUGGCAUUUGUUGUACAGCUUGGUAACUUCGUACUACGUCUAAAGUUUACCACUUCAUUGCGAAGACUUGUUGAGCAAGUCACUGCUGUUCGUGCAUAUUACUUUAAAAAAUUUGUGAUGUUAGAUGGCAAAAUUACAGGUCUGGAAAGAAGAAUUGAGUAUCUCGAGGGUCGUGGUGGUAGCAAUAGUUAUAACACCCAGUUGUCCCCAGAGGUUUCUUUGUUGCGUGAAAGAAUUGCAACACUAGAGCGACAAGCCAGAGACGAUUUUUCCACUAUACAACGGUUUCGUGAGCGUUUAGAUCAAUUAGACAAAUCAAUAGUGAGAAACAUGGUAAAGAUUAUGAACCUCGAAGCACAACGUGAAGAGCGCGCACUGGGAUCAAAUCAUACACAGCUAUUAUGGUACGUUACUUUGGAGAAUAGACAACUUCAAUCGAAAGCGACAGGACGCCAUUAAUGAUGUUAAGAAUGCCUGGUACAGUCCACCAUUUUACAUUUCUCAAUAUGGUUACAAGAUGUGUGCUAAGAUCUAUAUGAAUGGUGAUAGUCGGGGAAAUGGAACUCAUUUAUCUUUCUUCUUUGUUAUCAUGUAAGGUAAAGCUAUUUUAGCAGUUUCUACUUAAGCUGCGUCAAAAAUUGGAGGUGGAUUUUCGUAGGUAUAAAAUAGGCUGUCCAAGAAUGUUUGGUAGCAUGCAGAUGAUGGCAAAAAUUGCGUUAAAAUUGAGAUAAUGUAAUUUGAUUGCUCUAGAGGCAUAAUAUCUAAGAAUACAGAAUACGUCACGUGACUCGCUGUGCUUUUUGGAAUAGAUAAGAUUAGAAGUUAGAUUCCCAGUUGGAACAAGUUGUUGAAUAAUGUAGAUUGUGAUAUGAAGAGUAUAAAGCCAAAGAUCUAUAUUUUCAAUUCACCGCAAAAGCAGACUAAAGCUUACAAUUGUUUGUGAGAUGCGAUACUUUUUAUUUUUUUUGAUCAUGUACGAAAAUAAAUGACGAAAGAAAGGAAAGGUGAUUACGAUGCUCUACAAACAUGGUCAUUUCAAAAGAAGAUCACAAUGAUGUUAAUAGCUCAAGGAAAUGGUGAUCACAUGAUUGAUGCUUUUCAUUCAGAUCCUCAAAGUUCCUUAUUUCAGGGACCAGUGUCUGAUUUAAAUCUAUUUGGAUUGCCACUUCUAAUUUCUCCGAUAGAGAGUUUAAGCAAUCUUCUGUUCAUUAAAGAGAAUACAAAGUUUAUUAAGUUAAUAGGCAAACGCAACCCGACCUAAACAUGUUACAAACAACUCACCUAGCUCUUUCAUGUAAUUUUUAGUUGUCAAUACAAAACGCUAUUUGUUGUAAAGCACUCAAUAGUGUUUAUAUAAGUUUUUCUUGUUUGCUUCUGGUCAGUAUAUCCACAGUAAAGGAAUAUACAACAGUAGGGGCACUUCGCUGUGCAAUUGGCUGCUGUAUAUUUAAUGAGUUUACUGGCUGCCCUUUGCCAUAUCGUCAAUCCAAUUGGUCAAAGAAUUCAAUUUACUGGCUGCCAAUAUGGUAAUCACAUGCGUAAUAAGAUAUGCGUGGCACGAAAACACUCAGUACAGUGGCCCUACUCUAUGUUCUCUAUACCGUAGCAUUGUUAUGAAGUAUGUCCCCAUGUUUACUUUGUAACACGGGCUGAAAUGUACGUUUGGUCAUAUCCUAUCUACAGUUUUGUACUUUUAUCAUUUAAUUUCAUUAGAAUCGAAUUUUUCUA